AAACCAUCUGGGUAACUGGGUGGGGGAAGUGGCGAAAGGGGCAGUAAGGCGUGGGCAACCUACCCCGGGGAUCGGGAUAGCCGUCCUAACGGACGGAUAAUACCGGGCGAUCUGGCGAGGAGGCAUCUUCUGGCCAGGAAAUGAAUUUCGCCUCGGGAGGGGCUCACGUAGUAUUAGCUUGUUGGCGGGGUAACGGCCCACCAAGGCCAAGAUGCUUAGCGGGUGUGAGAGCACGACCCGCGCCACUGGCACUGAGACACUGGCCAGACUCCUACGGGAGGCUGCAGUCGAGGAUCUUCGGCAAUGGGCGCAAGCCUGACCGAGCGACGCCGCGUGUGCGAUGAAGGCCUUCGGGUUGUAAAGCACUGUCGAGGGGGAGAAAAGCCCGCAAGGGUCUGAUCUAUCCCUGGAGGAAGCACGGGCUAAGUUCGUGCCAGCAGCCGCGGUAAGACGAACCGUGCGAACGUUGUUCGGAUUCACUGGGCUUAAAGGGCGCGUAGGCGGACGGUCAAGUCGGGGGUGAAAUCUUUCAGCUUAACUGGAAACGUGCCUUCGAUACUGAUCGUCUCGAGGGAGGUAGGGGCAUGCGGAACUUCCGGUGGAGCGGUGAAAUGCGUAGAUAUCGGAAGGAACGCCGGUGGCGAAAGCGGCGUGCUGGACCUCUUCUGACGCUGAGGCGCGAAAGCCAGGGGAGCGAACGGGAUUAGAUACCCCGGUAGUCCUGGCCCUAAACGAUGGGUACUAGAUUGUGGACUUAACAUGGGUUCCCAAUCGAAGCUAAAGUGUUAAGUACCCCGCCUGGGGAGUAUGGUCGCAAGGCUGAAACUCAAAGGAAUUGACGGGGGCUCACACAAGCGGUGGAGCAUGUGGCUUAAUUCGAGGCUACGCGAAGAACCUU
rnacentral:rRNA from 1 species